rnacentral:rRNA from 1 species
UGAGGAACAUGACCUUCGGCGGGGGAUAGCCGGCCCAACGGCCGGGUAAUACCGCGUACGACCACAUGGGGACAUCCCUGAGUGGUGAAAGCAGCAAUGCGCCGAUGGAGUGCCUCGCGGCCUAUCAGCUAGUUGGUGAGGUAACGCUCACCAAGGCGACGACGGAUAGCUGGUCUGAGAGGAUGGCCAGCCACAUUGGGACUGAGACACGGCCCAGAUCCGUA